CUCAAUAACGUUUUGCCGUUCAUGUCCUGAGUAAACAUCGUCGUAUCUUCGCCAUAUUGUUCAUAUGUAUAUUCGUAGUUGAAUGUUAACUUUACGAAGCGUUUAAUGUAAGCUAGCUCGACCGUCAAAACAAACGAGUCACAAUGUUAAUGGCGGACAUCGUCGUGGCUGUCUCACUCGUGUGCAUUAACGCAGCACUACGUCACACAACGCUACUGUCACUGAGUUAAGAGUGAAUGCAAUGUUAGGUUGAAUGUAACUGUAAUGUAAUGGUACUACUUUAUAGACAUGCGGAGUGAUACGAAGGCAUGUGUGAUCAGAGGGGGGGCGUGUACAGUCGGCGGCCCGCUCUUGGAGUUACCCGAAUCCAGUCAGUCACGGUGUUAUGUAUGGUUAAGCUAAUAAAGAUACUUGGAGAUACAACGGGCUCAAAACCCUAUUAUUCCAUAACACUACAGUAACGAGGAAUAAUUCAACCACAACCGUAUGAUGGAGAACUUCUCGGCCACAGCGAAUGUGGUACAACGUUUUUUUAUUUUUUACUUGAACAUCAUUUCUUAUUUUGUGAUAUUUAAUGGAAAUGACAUCCAUUAUAACCAAUAGCAAGUUUGAAACUAAGCUCCCUGCCAACCUCCCUACAGACUAUUUAUGACUUCAAUCUAUCUAUCUAUCUAUAUCUAGGAUAAGCAUUUGUAAUCAUGUUUGUCUGUGAAAUCUUCCAUUAAACUGAUGGCUUUUUAGCCGUAAAAAUGCAUCUUUACGAGGAGUUAUUUGCAGUUUGACUAAUUGCUUUUGUUGUUUCUUUUGUAGGCUUUGAAAAACCUGGCAAUGAAUUAUUCUUCUGAGUUCUGUCGCUUAUCAAGCAAAAAUCUGAGUUGCAAUCAGAGUUCUUCAAAGAUCUCGACAAAUACACUCCUCGCUUCCUGGAGAAGUUCAAGACCCAGAGGGGGAAAGUGUCGGACAGAAACUUGAAUAUCUGCAACAAGUCACACCUGGGAGUACAGAUGUGACUGGGAGGUGAACAGCAGUCCUCCGUGGCUCUCCCGUCAUCCUUGGAGAUAACGCAGACUUCUUCAAGAAUUUGAGGUUCAGGAGCAGCCAAUAUGAUGCAGGUGUGACGGCUGAAGAUGGUAGGUACCUGUUCAGCCUCCUGUGGUAGGAGCACAUUUCCCAGAAGCAGCAGUGACAAAGAAAUGUGGAUGUUUACCACGAAUAUGGUUGGUUGCCCACGUAUUAAACGUUGGUCUUUCUUUAUUGAAGGUGUGAGUUUAGGAUGGCAUGAAGCUUCGACUUGACCCUAUGGAAACACAGCAGAAGCCACGAACGGGUCCUGAUCGGCGUGUGUUGUGAUGCAACUGCAUCGACCUGUUCUCAGGCCCUUCUACAUUCUGUUUUUUACAUUUGCUCUAUUAUUGUUGUUCCAUUCAAAUAUCCCUAUUUGUAAAUAUGAUAAUUCAUAUUCUUUAUUAUUAGCUUUUGCAAUCAUUCAGUGAAUCACAUGAUCAAUGAAUUAAUCAUCACACUCACUCCUGAGCAUCUUUCACUUGAUUAUCUAAUAAUAUCAGAAUCCAAGUAACCAUUGUGUGUUCUACCAUAGAAAUGCAACGUGAAAUUUGACAUGUAAUUGUGUUUUUUAUGCUGCUCUUGUUAUUAGGACUCUGAUGACCUUCUGGACGUGUCCCACGCCUCCAUUGGGACCCUGAUGGUGCUGAAGACAUCGUGGCCUCCUCACUCGCUGGACCUGGAGUCUACAACUACUGCCAUCGUUUUGGGAGGAACAGUCGUGAUGGGUGACCGUGAUAAUCUUCCCCGUGCCGUGUGGCUACUCUUCGGACUUAUUUACCCCUGAAUUUGGAGUAUCCUCAACGAGUGAGGAACACCUUCUGAAUUUAUUCAUAGAGUGCUUCUCACUUGGACCAAAAACCAUAAAAUUCAAUCACUCAAAUAUCUACUGAUGCCAUAAGGGACUGUGUUCAUGAUGUGCAGUCAGGCCCGAGAACUUCACCCUUCUAUCUCCAAUUGAACUCUUUUCUAGAAAAUGUCUGUUUUUGUUGUUUUUCUGUCAUGAAAUUUAGCAAAUGCCGAAAACGCUGUGUUCAUCAUAUUUCUGCAUUACAAAACCUAAUCUGGCAACAUGUUCAGCGUUUUAAGCACGUUGUUUGAGUUUUAAAACGUGUUUUUCUUCUAAAUAAACGUUGUCUUCCAUUGUAA